rnacentral:rRNA from 1 species
GACGAACGCUGGCGGCGUGCUUAACACAUGCAAGUCGAACGGAAAGGCCCCCACCUUGGUGGGGGUGCUCGAGUGGCGAACGGGUGAGUAACACGUGGGUGAUCUGCCCUGUACUUCGGGAUAAGCUUGGGAAACUGGGUCUAAUACCGGAUAGGACCAUGGUUUAGUGUCUCAUGGUGGAAAAAUUAUUGUUUUGGUGCAGGAUGAGCUCGCGGCCUACCAGCUUGUUGGUGGGGUAAUGGCCUACCAAGGCGUCGACGGGUAGCCGGCCUGAGAGGGUGGACGGCCACAGUGGGACUGAGAUACGGCCCAGACUCCUACGGGAGGCAGCAGUGGGGAAUAUUGCGCAAUGGGCGCAAGCCUGAUGCAGCGACGCCGCGUGGGGGAUGACGGCCUUCGGGUUGUAAACUCCUUUCGUUAGGGACGAAGCCACACCUUUUUUGGGUGUGGUGACGGUACCUUUGUUAAGAAGCACCGGCUAACUACGUG